rnacentral:lncRNA from 1 species
CCAUUGUUUUCCUCUUGAAAGUGAUGUGUUCCCUCGGUUUUGGUAUGUGACCCGGAUUUGUUUCAGUUGAAUUGAUUUAUGGCCGUUGAACAGUGGUAUACUUCUGUUGCAUUUAGUUUUAAACAAACAAUUGUUAUUUCCAUGGAAAUCAACUGUACUCUCUUCUAGCCGAUAUGUUCCUUUAUUCAUAUGAGACUGAUUUCAUACAGGAACUUCUUAAGAAAGAAAAGAAACAAACAGUAUCCUUGAACUUUAC